UCAGUCUUUUCCUCUUUC
rnacentral:miRNA from 1 species